GGGCGGCGUACGGCUCAGUAACAUGUGGUCAAUCUACCCUCAGGACGGAGAUAACCUCGGGAAACUGAGGCUAAUAUCCGAUAGAUAAUGGAUCCUGGAAUGGUUCAUUAUUCAAACGGCACAUUGCUCAUGCGCAGUGUGUCGCCUGAGGAUGAGACUGCACCCUAUCAGGUAGUUGGUGGGGUAAUGGCCCACCAAGCCUAUAACGGGUACGGGCCCUGAGAGGGGGAGCCCGGAGAUGGGCACUGAGACAAGGGCCCAGGCCCUACGGGGCGCAGCAGGCGCGAAACCUCUGCAAUGCGCGAAAGCGCGACAGGGCCACCCCGAGUGCUAGCCGCUGAGGUUAGCUUUUCCUUAGUGUAGUAAGCUAAGGGAAUAAGCGGGGGGCAAGCCUGGUGUCAGCCGCCGCGGUAAUACCAGCUCCGCGAGUGGUCGGGACGAUUAUUGGGCCUAAAGCGUCCGUAGCCGGCCUAUCAAGUCUCUGGUUAAACCUCAAGGCUCAACCUUGAGAUCGCUGGAGAUACUGUUAGGCUAGGGGGCGGGAGAGGUUGAGGGUACUUCGCGGGUAGGGGCGAAAUCCUAUAAUCCGCGAAGGACCAC
rnacentral:rRNA from 1 species